rnacentral:rRNA from 1 species
AGUGCACAGGGUGGAUGCCUUGGCGAUUACAGGCGAUGAAGGACGUAGAAGCUUGCGAUAAGCUGCGGGGAGUUGGCAAACAAACAUUGAUCCGCAGAUUUCCGAAUGGGGAAACCCGACCUUAGGGUCAUCAAUAACUGAAUCCAUAGGUUAUUGAAGCGAACGUAGCGAACUGAAACAUCUAAGUAGCUACAGGAAAAGAAAUCAACCGAGAUUCCCAGAGUAGUGGCGAGCGAAAUGGGAAGAGCCUGCAAGAAAUAGUGAAAUGAGAUAGUGGAACAUUCUGGAAAGGAUGGCAAUAGAGGGUGAUAGCCCCGUACACGAAAUCCAUUUUACAGUACUAAGCUUGCGACAAGUAGGGCGGGACACGUGAAAUCCUGUCUGAAGAUGGGGGGACCAUCCUCCAAGGCUAAAUACUCGUAAUCGACCGAUAGUGAACCAGUACCGUGAGGGAAAGGCGAAAAGAACCCCGGGAGGGGAGUGAAAUAGAUCCUGAAACCGUGUGCAUACAAACAGUAGGAGCCUGUAUUUAUAUGGGUGACUGCGUACCUUUUGUAUAAUGGGUCAGCGACUUACAUUCAGUGGCGAGGUUAACCGAAUAGGGGAGCCGAAGAGAAAUCGAGUCCGAAUAGGGCGAGAGUCGCUGGGUGUAGACCCGAAACCAAGUGAUCUACUCAUGGCCAGGAUGAAGGUGCGGUAACACGCACUGGAGGUCCGAACCCACUAACGUUGAAAAGUUAGGGGAUGAGCUGUGGGUAGGGGUGAAAGGCUAAACAAACUUGGAGAUAGCUGGUUCUCUCCGAAAACUAUUUAGGUAGUGCCUCAAGUAUCACCAUUAGGGGUAGAGCACUGUUAUGGCUAGGGGGUCAUCGCGACUUACCAAACCAUUGCAAACUCCGAAUACUAAUGAGUGCGAGCUUGGGAGACAGACAUCGGGUGCUAACGUCCGGUGUCAAGAGGGAAACAACCCAGACCGCCAGCUAAGGUCCCAAAGAUUGGCUAAGUGGAAAACGAAGUGGGAAGGCUAAAACAGUCAGGAGGUUGGCUUAGAAGCAGCCAUCCUUUAAAGAAAGCGUAAUAGCUCACUGAUCGAGUCGUCCUGCGCGGAAGAUGUAACGGGGCUAAGCCAGUCACCGAAGCUGCGGAUAUCCGUAAGGAUAUGGUAGGAGAGCGUUCUGUAAGCCUGAGAAGGUGUGUUGAGAAGCAUGCUGGAGGUAUCAGAAGUGCGAAUGCUGACAUGAGUAGCGAUAAUGGGGGUGAAAAGCCCCCACGCCGUAAGCCCAAGGUUUCCUGUUCAACGUUCAUCGGAGCAGGGUGAGUCGGCCCCUAAGGCGAGGCAGAGAUGCGUAGCUGAUGGGAAGCAGGUUAAUAUUCCUGCACCGUCGUUAGAUGCGAUGGGGGGACGGAUCGCGGAAAGUCGUCCGGGUGUUGGAAGUCCCGGUUAUUGAUUCGAAGGAGGCUACUAGGCAAAUCCGGUAGCGUAAUCCAAGGAAUUGAAACGAGUGGCCUUGUGCCGCGAAGCGAUUGGAAGUGGUUCCAAGAAAAGCCUCUAAGCUUCAGUCUAACGAGACCGUACCGCAAACCGACACAGGUGGGCGAGAUGAGUAUUCUAAGGCGCUUGAGAGAACUCGGGAGAAGGAACUCGGCAAAUUGGUACCGUAACUUCGGGAUAAGGUACGCCCUUGUAUCUUGACUGGCCUGCGCCAGGAGGGAGAAGGGGUUGCAAAAAAAUGGUGGCUGCGACUGUUUAAUAAAAACACAGCACUCUGCUAACACGAAAGUGGACGUAUAGGGUGUGACGCCUGCCCGGUGCUGGAAGAUUAAAUGAUGGGGUGAGAGCUCUUGAUUGAAGUCCCAGUAAACGGCGGCCGUAACUAUAACGGUCCUAAGGUAGCGAAAUUCCUUGUCGGGUAAGUUCCGACCUGCACGAAUGGCGUAACGAUGGCCACACUGUCUCCUCCCGAGACUCAGCGAAGUUGAAAUGGUUGUGAUGAUGCAAUCUACCCGCGGCUAGACGGAAAGACCCCAUGAACCUUUACUGUAGCUUUACAUUGGACUUUGAACCAAUCUGUGUAGGAUAGGUGGGAGGCUUUGAAGCGUGAACGCCAGUUUGCGUGGAGCCGACCUUGAAAUACCACCCUGGUUUGUUUGAGGUUCUAACCUUGGCCCGUUAUCCGGGUUGGGGACAGUGUAUGGUAGGCAGUUUGACUGGGGCGGUCU